CCUACUGGAGUGCCGACCAGUAGAGCAUGCCUUCGAGUAAAACCACAAAGCAGGGUUUGGCAACCCGACUAAAAGAGGAUUGAAAGCAAGUGAAGCAGACCGCGCAUGUUAGGUUUGUGUGAUUGUGAGUAGCGGUGGACUAGUUGCCGAGCUGGUU
rnacentral:sRNA from 29 species